UUAGUACUCCCUUCGUCCGGAAAUACUUGUCAUUGAAAUGGAUGUAUCUAGAUGUAUUUUAGUUGUAGAUACAUCCAUUUUCAUCCAUUUUGAUGACAAGUACUUUCGGACGGAGGGAGUACAAA
rnacentral:pre_miRNA from 1 species